GGCCAGGUAGCUCAGUGGUAGAGCGAGGGAUUGAAAAUCCCUGCGUCGGUGGUUCAAUUCCGCCUCUGGCCACCA
rnacentral:tRNA from 1 species